UACGGGGGGGGGCAAGCGUUGUUCGGAAUUACUGGGCGUAAAGGGCCUCGUGAGGCGGCCAACUAAGUCGGACGUGAAAUCCCCCAGGCUCAACCUGGGAACUGCAUCCGAUACUGGAUGGCUUGAAUUCGGGAGAGGGAUGCAGAAUUCCAGGUGUAGCGGUGAAAUGCGUAGAUAUCUGGAGGAAUACCGGUGGCGAAGGCGGCAUCCUGGACCGACAUUGACGCUGAGGAGCGAAAGCCAGGGGGAGCAAACGGGG
rnacentral:rRNA from 1 species